AGAGAGAGACAUGCGCGCAUAUCAAUAAGCGGAGGAAAAGAAACUAACAAGGAUUCCCUUAGUAACGGCGAGUGAAGCGGGAAGAGCUCAAAUUUGAAAUCUUCAAGGUUCUACCUUGACGAAUUGUAGUUUAAAGAAGUGUUUUCUGUUGAAGUUUUGGUAAAAGUUCUUUGGAAUAGGACAUCAUAGAGGGUGAGAAUCCCGUAUUUGACCAUUAUUUUCCAGCUUUGUGAUACACUUUCAAAGAGUCGGAUUGUUUGGGAAUGCAGUCCAAAAUGGGUGGUAAAUUUCAUCUAAAGCUAAAUAUUGGCGAGAGACCGAUAGCGAACAAGUACCGUGAGGGAAAGAUGAAAAGAACUUUGGAAAAGAGAGUUAAACAGUACGUGAAAUUGUCAAAAGGGAAGCGUUUGACACCAGUGUUGUUUUCUCGAAAAUCAAUUAAAAAUGGCUCGAUUUUGUAUUGUUGAGACCUUAAAAGCUCACUGUACAUUUUUCGUGUCUUUUUUAAUGCACUUUUCGUUUAACAAGUCAACAUCAGUUUCUUUUGUUGUAAAAGGGUCAUUGGAAGGUGGCUUUCUUUUCGGAGAAAGUGUUUAUAGCCUUUGGCCUCUGCAAUCGAAGAGACUGAGGUCUGCAGCGUAGACUCUUCGGGGUUAGAUACAUUUGUGCUAAGUUAUAGCUUUUUAUAGACAACUUGUUGACUAUAAUUAGUCUUGUAGCUUACUCGCUUAUGCUAUUUUACCUACGCUUAGGAUGUUGAAGAUGUAGCACAUCAU
rnacentral:rRNA from 1 species